GUGCUCGGUUCAGCAGCACAUAUACUAAAAUUAGAACAAUACAGAGAUUAGCAUGGCCCCUGCGCAAGGAGACUAUGCCUUUAGGUAAUAAAGUGUGCUUCCCU